AGCAGCCGCGGUAAUUCCAGCUCCAAUAGCGUAUAUUAAAGUUGUUGCAGUUAAAAAGCUCGUAGUUGAAUUUCGGGAUCAAUUUAUCGGUCGUGCCUAUGGUAUGAACUGGUACAAUUGGUUUCUCCCUUCUGACGAAGCAUGAUGUCAUUAAUUUGGUGUCGUGGGGAAUCAGGACUGUUACUUUGAAAAAAUUAGAGUGUUUAAAGCAAGCAUUGGCUUGAAUACAUUAGCAUGGAAUAAUGAAAUAGGACGUUUGAUCCUAUUUCGUUGGUUUCUAGGAUCGACGUAAUGAUUAGUAGGGAUAGUUGGGGGCAUUAGUAUUCAAUUGUCAGAGGUGAAAUUCUUGGAUUUAUUGAAGACUAACUACUGCGAAAGCAUUUGCCUAGGAUGUUUUCAUUAAUCAAGAACGAAAGUUAGGGGAUCGAAGACGAUCAGAUACCGUCGUAGUCUUAACCAUAAACUAUGCCGACUAGGGAUCGGAUGAUGUUAAUUUUUUAAUGACUCA
rnacentral:rRNA from 1 species